rnacentral:lncRNA from 10 species
UGGUGAGUCAAGAAGGCUGGAAAGGAGUUGAGGAACCUGAAGGUGAAAGAAGAUUGAAAAUCCUUAAAAACCUGUUACCAUUUGGUGGGAUCUACUUCUCAACAACAGCAUUUCCGAGCUUCCUGGUGGUAAAAGUCUGACCUGCAGAUUGAAGAAGGAAUAACUCUGCUUGAUUUGAACUUCUGAAGACUUAAUUGGGACCAGUCCAAGGCCAUCAGGAGCCUAAAAUGUGAAAGGAGAAAAAAAGAGAACAAUCACCACUGAGCAAGAGUGGCUAUGCUUCUGUUUCCACUACAUUUUGAAACAUUAGUGACCAGUUCUACUCUCAGAGCAACUCCUCCUGCAACCACAGUUGCCACUUGAUCUGUAGGGCAGGAAGGCAGCCCUGAUCACCCCCUCCUCCAUGUCUCCUAGUGGAUGUGAGUCUCUUAUUUUCUGUGGUUGCGGAGGCUGCAACGUGUCACUCAGAAACUUCCUCAGGCUUGAAGGACUCAGGCUUGAAGGACUCAGUCCCUAGCUGCCAGGAGUGUAGGGAUAGAAACACCUCUUGGGGGCAGGGGAGCCCUCUUCAGGGGCUGCCUCAUCUGAACGGCACUGCAUCAGUCAGAGUCAAGCGCUCCUCCCAGGCAGCUCACCUCCAUGGCAGGUUGAAGCCACGGGAAACAUGCUGUGUCCUCUCACCCUGUGCCAGCCUCAGAGUUCUCACAGGCCCAGCUGAGGCCUUUGUUGAGGUGGACCCCAGUCCUACUUCUCUCUCCACCCAAUCCUGUCCCCUCUAUCUGCCUUCCACAGGUGUGAACCCCCGAAGAACUGCCUAAUACACUUCCUGCAUGCUAGUCUGCCUCAAACACCCAGAGGAUCUGGAUGGUGCCUGAAUAUGACAGGCACUCAAAAAAUAGCAUACAACCCCUAAUCUAAUACACCAUCACUAAACUAAUAUGAUGAAACGUUAAUAUGCCACAAUGACACCAUUUCCCAAUUUUGAGAUGCUAAAUGUAAGAAAAAGGCAUCUUACAAUUGAUGAAAUACAGUAUUUAUAAAAUAAAUUAAUUCAUUCUUUUUUAUAGACAGGAAUGCUGAGCGCUCUAUUUUUCAAUAACCCUGAGCAGCAGAGAAGUCUUUGUAGCACUAAAAUAUCAAAUGAAACAUAUCAGCUUCAAAUUAUUCAAAAAUAAUGAGGGGGGCUCCACUGCACAGUGAGGAUCUCUUUCCACCCCAUCAACCUCUUCACCCCAUUAAUUAUCGAGUGUCAGACAUUUAUUGUUGCUUGAAAAUCACAGGAUUUUUAUUCUUUAGGAACUAAUUAUUCUGCUCUUUUAAGUCACACAAUUAUCAAAAGCAGAAAACAUGUGGAAUUUCUAAAUUCAGUCCCGUAAUUCUUGAGUAGAUUACCUGCAAUGCUUAACAAAUAUUUUAGAAUGUGAAUGACAAGUUUAUUCUUUGAAAUUGACAAAAUAUUUUGCACAUGCACUUGCAAUAUUGAUUUGAGUAUACUUUUUAUUACUAACGAUGUGAACUCGAGCAACAUUUUGUUACUGGCUAUGUGAAUUUGUGCUUCAGUUUCCUCAUUUGAAAAAUGGUAAACCUAUCAGGUAGAUUUGUUGAAGAUUAAAUGAGAUGAACCGGAAGGACUUAAGACACUGCCUGAUGUAUAGUAAAUACAACCUAAGGGUUAACUCUCACUUUUUCAAUAAUGCACCAUUGUGCCCGAAGGGAAGAAGGAUGAGCCAUUAUACCUCCUGCUACCCCAAGAGAGAAAGAUACACACACACACACACACACACACACACACACACACACACCCCCCAGAGAGAG